CUAAUAGCGUAUAUUAAAGUUGUUGCAGUUAAAACGCUCGUAGUUGAAUUUUGGAUUCUGCCAGUUGGUCCAUCUUUUGAUGAGUACUCAUUGUGUGGGGUCUAUCCGCCUGGUAAUACGUAAUGUACUUUAUUGUAUGUUACGGGUAGCCAGGACCUUUACCUUGAAAAAAUUAGAGUGUUUAAAGCAGGCAUUCGCUUGAAUACAUUAGCAUGGAAUAAUAGAAUAGGACUUUGGUUCUAUUUUGUUGGUUUCUAGGACCGAAGUAAUGAUUAAUAGGGAUGGUUGGGGGCAUUAGUAUUUAAGUGUCAGAGGUGAAAUUCUUGGAUUUAUGAAAGACUAACUUCUGCGAAAGCAUUUGCCAAGGAUGUUUUCAUUAAUCAAGAACGAAAGUUAGGGGAUCGAAGACGAUCAGAUACCGUCGUAGUCUUAACCAUAAACUAUACCGACUAGGGAUCAGACAAGGAUAUUUUGACUUGUUUGGCACCUUAUG
rnacentral:rRNA from 1 species